rnacentral:rRNA from 1 species
CACCAGCCCCUCGAGUGGUGGGGAUGAUUAUUUGGCCUAAAGCGUCCGUAGCCGGCCGGGUAAGUUUCCCGUUAAAUCCAGCGUCUCAAGCGUUGGACUGCGGGAAAUACUGCCUGGCUAGAGAGUGGGAGAGGUCAGCGGUAUUCUGGGGGUAGGGGCGAAAUCCUUUGAUCCCCGGAGGACCACCAGUGGCGAAGGCUGCUGACUAGAACACGUCUGACGGUCAGGGACGAAAGCUGGGGUAGCGAACCGGAUUAGAUACCCGGGUAGUCCCAGCCGUAAACGAUGCAUGCUAGGUGUUGGGUUGGCCACGAGCCACCCCAGUGCCGCAGGGAAGCCGUUAAGCAUGCCGCCUGGGAAGUACGAUCGCAAGAUUGAAACUUAAAGGAAUUGGCGGGGGAGCACCACCAGACGUGAAGCCUGCGGUUU